GACGUAGGGCGCGAGCGUUGUCCGGAAUUAUUGGGCGUAAAGAGCUCGUAGGCGGCUUGUUGCGUCGGCUGUGAAAACCCGCGGCUCAACCGUCGGGCUUGCAGCCGAUACGGGCAGGCUAGAGUUCGGUAGGGGAGGACUGGAAUUCCUGGUGUAGCGGUGGAAUGCGCAGAUAUCAGGAGGAACACCUGUGGCGAAAGCGGCUCACUGGACCAUAACUGACGCUGAUGCACGAAAGCUAGGGGAGCAAACAGG
rnacentral:rRNA from 1 species